AGAUAGCAAAACACCCAUUACAAUUCAGCCCAACUAAACCUUCCUCUAACGACAUAACAAAGCCCACUGAGCCUAGGGUUUCACUAUUUAUUUCUACAAACCCCAAAAAUUCUGUGUUCCUUCUUAAUCUACACCCUCUUCAAUCUUCGGUUUAAAUCUCAUCGAUUAGGUUUUGUGGUCGCAAAUUUUCUUCAUCUGAUCAUCAUGAGAGCUAAGUGGAAGAAGAAGCGUAUGAGGAGGUUGAAGAGGAAGCGCAGAAAGAUGAGACAGAGAUCCAAAUAGAUUUCUUUCAAGUUCUGAAUUGGACGCUUUCAGUUUCUCAUCGCUUUUUUUGGUGUUUAUGAGCUAUUUUUGUUGCUAAAUAUGACUGGUUAUAGGUAUUGAUAUAAUGUUUUAUCUAUGUUUUUGUACGCUUUGCUGAACGUGAAAUUUCCAGCAGUAUAACCGGAAUAUCUUGUUGAA